rnacentral:rRNA from 1 species
UUUCCAGACUCCUACGGGAGGCAGCAGUGGGGAAUAUUGCACAAUGGGGGAAACCCUGAUGCAGCGACGCCGCGUGAAGGAAGAAGUAUUUCGGUAUGUAAACUUCUAUCAGCAGGGAAGAAAAUGACGGUACCUGACUAAGAAGCCCCGGCUAACUACGUGCCAGCAGCCGCGGUAAUACGUAGGGGGCAAGCGUUAUCCGGAUUUACUGGGUGUAAAGGGAGCGUAGACGGCGAUGCAAGUCUGAAGUGAAAGGCGGGGGCCCAACCCCCGGACUGCUUUGGAAACUGUAUGGCUGGAGUGCAGGAGAGGUAAGUGGAAUUCCUAGUGUAGCGGUGAAAUGCGUAGAUAUUAGGAGGAACACCAGUGGCGAAGGCGGCUUACUGGACGAUGACUGACGCUGAGGCUCGAAAGCGUGGGGAGCAAACAGGAUUAGAUACCCGAGUA